rnacentral:rRNA from 1 species
AACAUGUCUUUAAGAUUAUAAUUUAAAGUCUAAUCUGCUCCAUGAUUAAUAUUAAAUAGCUGCAGAAUCUUGACUGUACAAAGGUAGCAUAAUCAAUAGUUUUUUAAUUAAAAGCUGGAAUGAAAGAUUUGAUAAGGUAAAUAUUGUCUCAAGUUUAAUAAAGUUAUAAUUUUCUUUUUAGUAAAAAUGCUAAACUGAAUUUAAAAGACGAGAAGACCCUAUAGAAUUUUAUAUUUUUAAUUAAAUUAAUUUAUAUAUUUAAUUUAUAUAUUAAUGAAUAAAUAUUAGGUUGGGGAAAUUAUUAAAUUAAUUAAAUUUUAAUAUUAAUUAAACAAAAAUUAUUGAUUUUUUGAUCUUAAAUUUUAAAUUAAUAGAACAAAUUACCUUAGGGAUAACAGCGUAAUUUUUUUUGAGAGAUCUUAUUAAUAAAAAAGUUUGCGACCUCGAUGUUGAAUUAAGAUUAAAUUUUAAUGAAGAAGUUAAAAAUUUUUGGUCUGUUCGACCAUUAAAAUCUUACGUGA